UACGAAGGGUGCAAGCGUUACUCGGAAUUACUGGGCGUAAAGCGUGCGUAGGUGGUGAGUUAAGUCUGUCGUGAAAGCCCCGGGCUCAACCUGGGAAUGGCGAUGGAUACUGGCUCGCUAGGAGUGCGGUAGAGGAGAGUGGAACUUCCCGGUGUAGCAGUGAAAUGCGUAGAGAUCGGGAGGAACAUCAGUUGCGAAGGCGGCUCUCUGGACCGGCAUUGACGCUGAGGAGCGAAAGCCAGGGGAGCAAACGGG
rnacentral:rRNA from 1 species